AUUAAAAUUGAUUUUAAGAAUUUUUUAUUGAAUUCCAUUUUUGAAUGGUUGACAAUUAUUUUAAAACAAAAAACAGUCAUUUGCUGCAAUUUAUCACGAUAGAGUGGACAUUGAAAGAAAACCGAAUAGCUGUUUCAGGGAUCGGAAACCGGUAUUUUUUGUAUGGGAACGAAAACGGUAUUUUUUCGUUCUUUGUCAAUUAUUUCAUUCCUAAUUGGGCAAUCUAAUAAUACGAAGUCGUUAUCUAAAAACACAACUGAGUCCUACAUUUUAAGUAUAAAAUAAACCGAAAUAUAUGGUUAUUUCGAUGUUUUUGCAAAAAACCGGUUCCGAUCCCUGAGCUGUUUUAACAUUGCACCGCAAUUGAGGACAAAAAAAAAUGGCUGGCCUCGCUCCGUACGCGAACACCAGCAGUGAUCAAACCGAUCAAGAUGACUUUGCAGAUGGGUGUCAGUAGAAAAACCGUGAAAAAGGUUUUAAACGAAGAUCUUAGUCUACGAGCAUACAUAAAAAAGAGUGGGCACUUACUUAAUUCCCGUCUAAAAACAAUAAGGCUUAAAAGAUCCUAGAAGUUGUUAAAGCGGUACGCGAAAAAUCGAUACCGUGAUAUCCUCUUUACAGACGAAAAGAUUUUUGAUAUUGAAGAGAAGUACAAUAAACAGAAUGAUAGAGUGUACGCUAGGUGCUCUGAAGAAGCAGGAAAAAGAGUUCCGCGGGUGCAAGAUGAGCAUCAUCCAUCAUCAGUGAUGGUCUGGUUGGGUGUAUCUCAUUACGGGCCAACUGAGGUUCAUUUUUGCGAAAAAGGGGUCAAAAUCAGUGCGUAAGUGUACCAAGAGACGGUUUUGGAUAAGCUUGUCAAAGAUCUGCCCAACAAGCUAUUUUCAGGACAAUUUUGUGUUCCAGCAAUAUUCUGCGCCAACACCCAAAGCCAAGACCACUCAAGCCUGCUUUGACCGUCAAAAAAUCAACUUUAUAAGACACUUAGAUUGGCCUUCCUCCAGUCCGGACUUUAAUUCUUUGGACUAUAAAAUUUGGCAGGUCUUAAAGAGGCAGGUCUGUGCUAAACCCCAUAAAAAUUUGGAGAGCAUAAAAGUCAUCUUUAAGAAAAGCAGUCGCUGAAAUAAACAUGAAAAUGGUGCGUGCUGACGACUGGCCGCGCCGAUUAAGGGCCUGUAUUAAAAACAAGGGAGGUCAUUUUGAAUAAUUUUAAUUCUUUAUUAAAUGUACUUUUAAUUGGUAUAUAAUUUAUUAAAAACUGAUUGG